rnacentral:rRNA from 1 species
CGCGUAUGCAACCUACCUUAAUCAGGGGGAUAGCCCGAAGAAAUUCGGAUUAACACCGCAUAAUAUUAUUUUAUGGCAUCAUAGAAUAAUCAAAUAUUUAUAGGAUUAAGAUGGGCAUGCGUGACAUUAGUUAGUUGGCGAGGUAACGGCUCACCAAGACUACGAUGUCUAGGGGAUCUGAGAGGAUGACCCCCCACACUGGUACUGAGACACGGACCAG